CAAGUCGAGGGGUAACGGAAGUAGCUUGCUACUAGACGACGACCGGCGCACGGGUGAGUAACGCGUAUGUAAUCUGCCUUGUACAGAGGGAUAGCCCAGAGAAAUUUGGAUUAAUACCUCAUAGUAUUACCGAAUCGCAUGAUUUGGUAAUUAAAGCUCCGGCGGUACAAGAUGAACAUGCGUGACAUUAGCUAGUUGGUAAGGUAACGGCUUACCAAGGCUACGAUGUCUAGGGGUUCUGAGAGGAUGAUCCCCCACACUGGUACUGAGACACGGACCAGACUCCUACGGGAGGCAGCAGUGAGGAAUAUUGGUCAAUGGACGCAAGUCUGAACCAGCCAUCCCGCGUGAAGGAUGACUGCCCUAUGGGUUGUAAACUUCUUUUAUAUGCAAAUAAACCUACUUUCGUGAAAGUAGCUGAAGGUAGCAUAUGAAUAAACACCGGCUAACUCCGUGCCAGCAGCCGCGGUAAUACGGAGGGUGU
rnacentral:rRNA from 1 species